UAGGGAAUCUUCCGCAAUGGACGAAAGUCUGACGGAGCAACGCCGCGUGAGUGAAGAAGGAUUUCGGUUCGUAAAACUCUGUUGUUAGGGAAGAAAAAAUGUAUAGUAACUAUAUACAAAAGAGACGGUACCUAACCAGAAAGCCACGGCUAACUACGUGCCAGCAGCCGCGGUAAUACGUAGGUGGCAAGCGUUGUCCGGAAUUAUUGGGCGUAAAGCGCGCGCAGGUGGUUUAGAAAGUCUGAUGUGAAAGCCCACGGCUCAACCGUGGAGGGUCAUUGGAAACUAAUAAACUUGAGUGCAGGAGAGAAAAGUGGAAUUCCUAGUGUGGCGGUGAUAUGCGUAGAGAUUAGGAGGAACACCGGUGGCGAAAGCGGCUUUUUGGCCUGCAACUGACACUGAGGCGCGAAAGCGUGGGGAGCAAACAGG
rnacentral:rRNA from 1 species